UACGUAGGGGCGAGCGUUAUCCGGAAUUACUGGGCGUAAAGCGCACGCAGGCGGUUCGCCAAGUUUGGAGUGACAGUUGUCGGCUCAACCGACAAAGGACUUCAAAAACUGGUGAACUUGAGGACGAGAGAGGAACAUGGAACUCCAGGUGUAGUAGUGAAAUGCGUAGAUAUCUGGAAGAACACCAAUGGCGAAGGCAAUGUUCUGGCUCGUUUCUGACGCUCAGGUGGCGAAAGCCAAGGGGAGCGAACGGGAU
rnacentral:rRNA from 1 species